rnacentral:rRNA from 1 species
CCUACGGGUGGCAGCAGUGGGGGAUAUUGCACAAUGGGGGGAACCCUGAUGCAGCGACGCCGCGUGAGCGAAGAAGUACCUCGGUAUGUAAAGCUCUAUCAGCAGGGAAGAAAAUGACGGUACCUGACUAAGAAGCCCCGGCUAAAUACGUGCCAGCAGCCGCGGUAAUACGUAUGGGGCAAGCGUUAUCCGGAUUUACUGGGUGUAAAGGGAGCGCAGGCGGCCUGCCAAGUCUGGUGUGAAAACCCGGGGCCCAACCCCGGGCCUGCAUUGGAAACUGGCGGGCUGGAGUGUCGGAGGGGCAGGCGGAAUUCCUAGUGUAGCGGUGAAAUGCGUAGAUAUUAGGAGGAACACCGAUUGCGAAGGCAGCUUACCAAGCUACUUCUGACGUUGAGGCACGAAAGCGUGGGGAGCAAACAGGAUUAGAUACCCGAGUAGUC